rnacentral:rRNA from 1 species
UACGGAGGGCGCAAGCGUUGUUCGGAAUCACUGGGCGUAAAGCGCGUGUAGGCGGCUUGGUAAGUCGGGUGUGAAAGCCCGGAGCUCAACUCCGGAACUGCACUCGAAACUGCCUAGCUAGAGUCUCGGAGAGGAAGGUGGAAUGCUUGGUGUAGAGGUGAAAUUCGUAGAUAUUGGGUAGAACACCGGUGGCGAAGGCGGCCACCUGGCUCGCAACUGACGCUGAGGCGCGAAAGCGUGGGGAGCAAACAGG